rnacentral:rRNA from 1 species
AGAGUUUGAUCCUGGCCCAGGAUGAACGCUAGCGGUAGGCUUAACACAUGCAAGUCGAGGGGUAACGAUGUCUUCGGACAGGCGACGACCGGCGCACGGGUGAGUAACACGUAUGCAACCUACCUUUAACUGGAGAAUAGCUCCGAGAAAUCGGAAUUAAUACUCCAUAAUAUCUAAAGAUCGCAUGAUUUUUAGAUUAAAGCUCCGGCGGUUAAAGAUGGGCAUGCGGAACAUUAGUUUGUUGGUGAGGUAACGGCUCACCAAGACUACGAUGUUUAUGGGGUCUUAAAGGGUGGUCCCACACACUGGUACUGAGACACGGACCAGACUCCUACGGGAGGCAGCAGUGAGGAAUAUUGGUCAAUGGGCGCAAGUCUGAACCAGCCAUACCGCGUGCAGGAUGAAUGCCCUAUGGGUUGUAAACUGCUUUUGUACAGGAAGAAAAUACUCUACGUGUAGAGAACUGACGGUACUGUACGAAUAAGGAUCGGCUAACUCCGUGCCAGCAGCCGCGGUAAUACGGAGGAUCCAGGCGUUAUCCGGAUUUAUUAGGUUUAAAGGGUGCGUAGGCGGAAUAUUAAGUCAGUGGUGAAAUCCUGCAGCUCAACUGUAGAACUGCCAUUGAUACUGUUAUUCUUGAGUAUAGUUGAGGUGGGCGGAAUGUGUCAUGUAGCGGGGAAAUGCUUAGAUAUGACACAGAACACCAAUUGCGUAGGCAGCUCACUAAACUAUCACUGACGCUGAGGCACGAAAGCGUGGGGAGCGAACAGGAUUAGAUACCCUGGUAGUCCACGCUGUAAACGAUGAUUACUCGUUGUGUGCGAUAUAUUGUACGCGACUGAGCGAAAGUAUUAAGUAAUCCACCUGGGGAGUACGUCGGCAACGAUGAAACUCAAAGGAAUUGACGGGGGCCCGCACAAGCGGAGGAACAUGUGGUUUAAUUCGAUGAUACGCGAGGAACCUUACCUGGACUUAAAUGCAAAGUGAUCGGUAUCGAAAGAUACUUUCCCUUCGGGGCAAAUUGCAAGGUGCUGCAUGGUUGUCGUCAGCUCGUGCCGUGAGGUGUCGGGUUAAGUCCCAUAACGAGCGCAACCCCUAUCGUUAGUUACUAACAGGUAAUGCUGAGGACUCUAGCGAAACUGCCGGUGUAAACCGUGAGGAAGGUGGGGAUGACGUCAAAUCAGCACGGCCCUUACGUCCAGGGCUACACACGUGUUACAAUGGUCGAUACAGUGGGCAGCUACUUGGCAACAAGAUGCUAAUCUCCAAAGUCGAUCUCAGUUCGGAUCGAAGUCUGCAACUCGACUUCGUGAAGUUGGAUUCGCUAGUAAUCGUAUAUCAGCAAUGAUACGGUGAAUACGUUCCCGGGCCUUGUACACACCGCCCGUCAAGCCAUGGAAGCUGGGAGUACCUGAAGUCUGUAACCGCAAGGAGCGGCCUAGGGUAAUACUAGUAACUGGGGCUAAGUCGGAACAAGGUA